ACUUGUUUGUAUACAACCACGCCCGGCAGGAUGACCACCAGAUGACCGGCCGCAGCAAUGCCUCCACUCAGUCCCAGUUGGGCAAAGUUUCACUCCACUGCGGCGACGUGAACAAGAAUCACGGCUUCCUUAUCAAUAUUUCCAAUCCAUGGUUGGGUGCGGAACCUGCGGAUACAGAGGACUGACUAUAAUAUCAAGGAGGCUCGUGUGGUCCCUGUUUGUCAUCCAGUCAAUACGGCCAUCAGCUUCUGGCCCCAGACACCUUUCCUCUGCACUGUGGCACAGAGGAGCAGACUGCUUUGGAGGGCAGCUUCCUGGGAGCUCCAGGGACCCUGGCCAGGCGGCCACUGCCACUGACUUCCUCGGCUCACUGAGCCCGUGCCUGCAGCUCUCGUGUUUCCUCUGUGCUGCAGUGGACGCUUAUCUUCCCCCGAUGGCACAUUUCUUUGUCACAGACAGGACCCUCACUGGCAGUCGGAGGACAUCAAGCCCUAGUACAGGAAGGGACAUUUUCACACUAAUCUGUGCCAGCUGGAGCAGUCCUGCCAUCUGAACAUCAUAUUUUGGAACCCUGAGAAGCUAGGAUGCAGUUAACAGAUGUCAAUUCCCUGCAGGCAGAGACCAGUUCUCUGCUGCCAUGUCUUUAAGGCCUGAUGCACCAUAGAUUAAUUCAAAUCCAGUGUCUACCACUCACUCGGCUUAAUGUAAGACAAGAUGAAGACUCCAGACUUCAGAACUUCAGUGUCCAGGGAAGGGGCUGAAAUACCAGACUGCGAUGUACCAUCUCUUGGUUGCUAUGACUGAGGCCAUUAAAAUGGCAGGCAUUAAAAGACUGCACCUCAGUACCCAGCUACAAAGCCUCAAGGUCACUGCAUUCCACAGCUUCCCGUCGCCUUUCAUUCCUGGCCUCAGAGCUUCAAUAUCCUGGCGAGAUCCCCUCGCAUUAUAUUUCAUGAGGCUUAAAUGCAAGCUCUCCCACAGCAAGCCCGAGAGUAUAAUGGGGGUUUUAAUACAUUCCUUUUACCUAAGGCUGGGAUCCAUUUCAAAAAGUUACCCAAUAGGUUUCCUUUCAGGUGAGCUCAUUGCUCUGACAUUCCAAAAUGACAUUAAAAAAUAAAUCCUCUGAUGACUAUAUUAAUACAGUACCUGGGACACUGAGAGUUAUGCCGGAAAACGUCUUAGAUGUCUAUAAAUAAAUCUUAGAAAAAAAACCCAGCAGGAGGAAUGUGAGGAGCUAAUGGAAUUCAAAAGGCCUCAUUGCUACCCCCUUAGAGUUGAAAUCCACUCCGGGCCGACUGUCGCAGCAGAUAUAAAAAGCCAGCCACAGGCUGAAGCUGUAUUAGAAAAUACUGAGGCAAUAGAAUAUUAAUCUUUUUCUCCAAAGAAAAGCCACGGACUAUGCUCCUUGGAAGAUGGCUUCCUUUGCUAUAAGAAGUACACUAAUUAAACAUGUACAAGGUUAAAUCCUGGCAACAUGCAGCUGCUUCAGGGAUCAGUCCUUCUUGACUUCAGGUGGGAGGCAUUCCCCGCAGAGGCAAGAUAUACAUGAGGCAGUGUGGGGAGAAUGACGUCAGCCUCCCAAACUGGCACAAGGACCUGUGUGUGGCCUUAGGAUCAAAAGCGUCCUUCUUUCUGCUUUCCUAAAAACAUAUCUUGAAAUUGCCUUUUAUGCCUCAACCCAUCUUCCUUGAGAUGCCGUUUCUCCAAGGAAGUGCUCUGUGCCCUCUCAGCCUUGCAGGUCUGGCUGUGUCAAGUGCCACUGUGCACUACUGAGGGACUGGAGGAACUGAAAAGCAUUUUGGUCAUAGGAGGGAAUAGCCACGGGAGAAGUCAGGCCUCAGACACUCUUGUUUGAAUAUGGAUGUUUGAGCCUUAGCUGGUAGAAUAAAACACUCUUUCAGAGUUUGAAAUAGUUUUACUGCAAAUGGAGUGGAAAGCGAAGUUUCCAAGGUUUUAUAAACAACCUGAUAUAAACACAGCAGUGUUGUAGGUCAAAGCAGAUGUGGUGAACAGAACUUACAAAGACAUAUAUGUGUAUCAGUUUAUUUUUUCCACGUUCAUUUCAACCUCAGCAGAGCUAGCAACACUAACACUCCCCAGUGGCAGAGCCAACAACAGGGCUCUAGAGGCUCCAAACUUGGGGUCCUCUUGGGUGUCCUUGGAUAGAAUUCAAGGGGUCCAUAAACUAGAAUAGAAAAAAUUAUAUAUUUUCACUAGUCUCUAGCUGAAAGAUAAUGUUUACUUCAAUUAUGGAUGUAGAAAAAUCCCUAUAGUGUUAGUACUACUGUGAUUUUCUCAAUAGAAAUCAUGAUAUUUUCACAUCAAUUACAGUUGUAGAUAUAAAUCUGUAAUAUACCUGUAGCAUCUGUUUCACUGUAAAUAUAUAUUACAUAUAAUAUAUAGAGAUGAUUCCCCUUGAAAUUCGAAGUAUUUUAUUUUACUUAUUUGAAACCAUUCUAAGAGGAGACUCGUAGCCUUCUUCAGGUUGCUAAAGGGGUCCAUAUACAAAAAUGGUUAGGAGUCCCUGUACUAGGGAAACUUCCCAGCAGAAUGGAGCAAGUCGUGUCCUAAGACACUAUCUACACUACUGAAAUCCUCCAUUUUGGCUAAAUGACAAAGCACUGGCAAAAGAGUCAGAAGGACUGCGUUCUGAUCUCUAACUUAUUGCAUGUCCUUUGGCAAGAAAGACAUUCAAGCUUCUUGCUAUUCAUAAGAACACAGCUACUCAUGCUUACAAUGUGCCAGGUGCUCUGCUAACUACAUUUGGUUGCCACAAUGAUGGUUCAGUCAACAACAGACCACAUGUAUGACAGUGGUCCUGUAAGAUUAUAAUAUCAUAUUUUUACUGUAUUUUUCUAUGUUUAGAUAUGUUUGAAAUACACAAAUACUUACCAUUGUGUUACAAUUGCCUACAGUAGUCAGUAGAGGAACAUGCUGUACAGGUUUGUAGCCUAGGAGCAAUAGGUUACACCAUAUGGCCUAGGUAUGUAGUAAGCUAUACCAUCUAGGUUUGUGUAAGUACACUCUAUGAUGUUCCCUUAAUGAGGAACUCACAUAAUGAUGCGUUUCUCAGAAUGCAUCCCUCUUUGUAAAUAUUACUUCCUGUAGUCAUUACAGCAACCUUCUGUGGUUCUAUUGUAAUAUUUAUUUUGCAGAUAAGAAAAUUAAACCUUAGAACUGUUAAGUAAUCCAUCCACAGUCCUAUCCAGCUAGGAAGCAACAUAAAUGAAAACUUUCUCCAAAGCUAUUAGAUAUCAUAGUCUAGCAAGCUAGGAUAACAAUUCCUGCCCUACUUACCUCGUAGGAUUUUUGUGAUGCUCAAAUGAAUAAUAGAUACAUUAGAUUUAAACAGUACUUCCCACCCUUCAAAACAAGUUAUGAAUAUUUUAAAAUGAUUGUUAUUGAGAUUUUCAAGUAUAGCAAAAUGUUGAGUUUUGGAAAUAACCAGUGAAAAGACAAGAUGCUAUCAAAGAGACUUUUGAAUUACAUUUCAUAUUUAAGUGGCAAUAUAAUUAUUACAAGGAAUAGCUGAUGGACUGUAUAAGGAUCUAUGUUAAUGCUAGAUAAAAAUGGAAUCAAAUUUAUGCUUGUUAGUGUUGUGCUACACGGCUUGAUAAGUUUUUCUCAUAAGUAAAUAAAAUAUGUGCCCUUCAA
rnacentral:lncRNA from 1 species